rnacentral:rRNA from 1 species
UAGGGAAUCUUCGGCAAUGGACGAAAGUCUGACCGAGCAACGCCGCGUGAGUGAAGAAGGCUUUCGGAUCGUAAAACUCUGUUGUUAGAGAAGAACAAGGACGUUAGUAACUGAACGUCCCCUGACGGUAUCUAACCAGAAAGCCACGGCUAACUACGUGCCAGCAGCCGCGGUAAUACGUAGGUGGCAAGCGUUGUCCGGAUUUAUUGGGCGUAAAGCGAGCGCAGGCGGUUUCUUAAGUCUGAUGUGAAAGCCCCCGGCUCAACCGGGGAGGUACUUUGGAAACUGGGAGACUUGAGUGCAGAAGAGGAGAGUGGAAUUCCAUGUGUAGCGGUGAAAUGCGUAGAUAUAUGGAGGAACACAAGUGGCGAAGGCGGCUCUAUGGUCUGUAACUGACACUGAGGCUCGAAAGCGUGGGGAGCAAACAGG